UUUGACCUCAAAUCAGGUAGGACUACCCGCUGAACUUAAGCAUAUCAAUAAGCGGAGGAAAAGAAACCAACAGGGAUUGCCUCAGUAGCGGCGAGUGAAGCGGCAAAAGCUCAAAUUUGAAAUCUGGCGUCUUUGGCGUCCGAGUUGUAAUUUGAAGAAGGUAUCUUUGGGCCCGGCUCUUGUCUAUGUUCCUUGGAACAGGACGUCNCAGAGGGUGAGAAUCCCGUGCGAUGAGAUGACCCNGGUCUGUGUAAAGUUCCUUCGACGAG
rnacentral:rRNA from 1 species